AUCCAUUUUGCACGCAUCAGCCCACACUUUAAAGCCCAGCCCAUCUACUCGCGCAAAAUUUCCAAAAAUUGAGGUUCCAUCAAGUACGAUCAAAUCUUUCGUUUCGUGAUGACACGCAAAACUGAAUAACAGUCGCUGCAAGACAAGAAGAGAAAGAAGAGCAUCAUGCAGAAUUCUUGAGGUCGAGAGUAAAGCAAUUUCUUGCUUAUUUUCGUGUUGUGCAUCUCUCACAUGCGGUUUCUGCUCCUCCAUCGUCUCUGGAAUCUUGAGGUGCUCCGCUAGACUUGCAUACUGCGGCCUGUUCGGAGUCUCCUUGGUGGUUUCAUGGAUUCUCUGAUAGUUCGCAGCUCCUCUGACGGAGAAGAUGCCAUGAAAAAAGGGGAGAAUAUUUGGAACUCUGAUAUUUGGCUUCUAAUUUCUCAUUGUAAGAUCAGGUGGGAUAACCUCUUCUCGAAGCAGAAGGACUUGAAGGAUGGAAAGAACAAAAAGAAUGAGGGAAAGGGAAAACAUGUCAGUUACUCCUAUACAUUCUUCCACCUGAUAUUUUGCUAUUGCAAGCAUGUACUCAGCUAUGCUAUGGCUGGGUUAGCCUGAAUGAGAGCUCGAACCUCGUAGACAUUGGCUGGACAUCGGUUUGGGAACGGAUCUGCCCAGAGUGGGUCACUUCUGCUCUAUAUAUUUGGUCACUUGUUGCCCCUCCCACAUCAAUUAGGAUAUAGGAACGAAACUUUCCUUUUAAGGUGUGAAAACCUCUCUUUAACAAAAACAUGUUUUAAAACCUUGAAGGAAAGCCUAAAGCCCAAAGAGGUCAAUAUCAUAUUUGCUAGCGGUAGGCUUAAGUUAUUACACAUUUUUCCUGAUUGCGAGUUCUUUUACGUCUGUAAUUCUGUUUCGAGUGUAUGAUUCACAUACUUGACUUUUGGGGAUCUUUUUUAUUCCUUUCCCAUUCUGCUUGUUUUUCAGCAUCCUUUGAUGCUCUUUUAAUAGUGGUACUGUUUCUACACCAAAUCAAAUAGUUAUUUAUAAUAUCCAAAUGGAUAAGCUUUCUCUUUCA